GGAAGAGUGGCCGAGUGGUUGAAGGCAGCGGUCUUGAAAACCGCCAGGCGGGGAACCGUCUCGUGGGUUCGAAUCCCACCUCUUCCGCCA
rnacentral:tRNA from 1 species